rnacentral:sRNA from 1 species
GCUUUUCCGCUCCUCGCGCCCCACCACCAACAUUGUUCUCUCAGGACUCCUGGGUCCCAGGGGCCGGAAUUGGGCCUGAGCGGGAGAGGAAAGAGACUUGGCUUUGGCCGAGGGGUCGGAGGAUUGGGGCCAGGCCCCCUCCCCCACGCACUUUUGGGGGUGUGGAUUAUCUCAUCCCUGCAGGGAGGUAGGAGAGGUCGCCGGCUGCCCGCCUCCGUGCCACCUCCCCAGCGGCGCCGGCCCGCGGCUGCCCAGCAGCAUGAGGUGGUGCUGGCGGCUCCGGGUCGUGGCGCGACCGCUGCGGCGGCGGCUGCUCGGGGGGCGCUGAGGUAGCCCCCCGGAGCGGCACGGCGGACGCGCUUCUCCUCUGCGCGCCGGGGCCUCGAGGCUUUUUUCUCCAGCCGAGAGGACGCGGCUGUGAUAUACGAAGCUGGAGCUCUCUGCUAUCUACUGUAAGCAUUGCCUGCUGCCAUGUUUCCUUACUGUGUUUUUCCGUGAUUGCUGGGAUACCACCUGCUUAUCUGACCUCUACGAUGCUAAGGACCUGCUUGCCUGGAUCACUGCUUAUUGUCUGACUUUGUGUGGACAGUAAUGACCUCACGUUUCCGAUUGCCUGCUGGCA